UCUGAGAAUCUUUAAGAACAUACGUCGAGGCGCCAACGGAACACGGUAAAAACCGUGGCGGUCCCGCCGCCGUAACCGGAGACGAAACGUGCAAAACCACUGUCCGGCUUCAGCCGAAUGGGAAGGGCACGUGGAGAGAGACCCGGAAGCCGGAAGACGAGCGCUCCGACGAGGGUAACC
rnacentral:ncRNA from 2 species